UCACUUUUUCAAAAUUUUUCAACCACCCAUUUAUUUCUCUCUUUCUCUCCUCUCAAUCCCUCUCUCUUUCUCUCCUCUCCUCUCCUCUCUUUCUCCUCUCCUUUCUUCUCGCCAACAGCGGGCAUGUGUGCAAGGCGAUGGCGUUGGCGGGCGGCGAGGGUGGCAGAUCCGGCGACGCCAUCCUCAGGAGGGCUAGAUCCGUUGCCAUGGCGAGGAGCUCGGCACUCGACGGCGGACCUAGGGCGGCAGGCAUGGUGAUGUGCGGCGGCGCCGUCCUAGGUAGGAGCUCGGCGCUCGGCGGCGGGCACACGGCGACGGUGGCUCUAUGGGGGCGGCAGAUCCGGCGGCGCUGUCCACGGGAGGGCCGGAUCCGCCACCCUAGUCUGGAGCUCGGUGCUCGGCGACGAAUCUAGGGGCGGCGGUGGUCUCCGACGGCGGCGGCGAUGACGGGGGCGGAAGUGGUGGCUGCGACGAGCUCGGGCGUGCGACGGCUCUAGUUUUUUUUUGUUUUUUUAUUUUGGGAUUUUAUUUUUUUUCAUGAUUUUUUCUCUUUGCAUGCGGGUGCCUUGGCCACGUGCAAAGAUUUGUAUUUUCGUACAUGAUUUGGCGCUUGCCCUCCGGCCCGUUUUCAAAAACGGCUUCUGGAGUAGUGUGCGACUGUCGUCUAACUAAAGCAAAAGACAAUGUCGGAGACCAGCUAACUUCUAGACCAGUCAUCUGUCUAGAUUAUGUCAACGCCAGCACAAAUACCUUAAUGUCCUAAAAUGGUAACCGUGUCUUCACGAUCACCUUCGUCGGCAUCAAGAGUACCCAAAAACUGGCCGGUCAUCGUCACCAGUCACCGGAGCACCAUGAAGUAGACAAUCCUGGCG
rnacentral:lncRNA from 1 species